rnacentral:tRNA from 1 species
CAGAGAAUAGUUUAUAAUAAUAAAAUAUUAAACUUGGACUUUAAAAAAGAUUUUAUCUUCUCUGA